AUUGAACGCUGGCGGCAUGCCUAACACAUGCAAGUCGAACGGUAACGGACCGCUGGGAUUCCUUCGGGAUGACCUUGGUGCCGACGAGUGGCGGACGGGUGAGUAAUACUUAGGAAUCUGCCCAGUAGUGGGGGACAACUCGGGGAAACUCGAGCUAAUACCGCAUACGCCCUACGGGGGAAAGCGGGGGAUCUUCGGACCUCGCGCUAUUGGAUGAGCCUAAGUCGGAUUAGCUUGUAGGUAGGGUAACGGCCUACCUAGGCGACGAUCCGUAGCUGGUCUGAGAGGACGAUCAGCCACACUGGGACUGAGACACGGCCCAGACUCCUACGGGAGGCAGCAGUGGGGAAUAUUGGACAAUGGGCGCAAGCCUGAUCCAGCAAUGCCGCGUGUGUGAAGAAGGCCUGCGGGUUGUAAAGCACUUUCAGUAGAGAAGAAAAGCCUACGGUUAAUACCCGUGAGUCUUGACGUAACCUACAGAAGAAGCACCGGCUAACUCCGUG
rnacentral:rRNA from 1 species